rnacentral:rRNA from 1 species
GGAAGCUUGCUUCCUAUGGACUCUAGUGGCAAACGGGUGAGUAACGCGUAAGCAACCUGCCCUCCGGAUGGGGACAACAGCUGGAAACGGCUGCUAAUACCGAAUACGUUUUCAUUGCCGCAUGGCAGUGGGAAGAAAGGUGGCCUCUGAACAUGCUACCGCCGGGGGAGGGGCUUGCGUCUGAUUAGCUAGUUGGAGGGGUAACGGCCCACCAAGGCGACGAUCAGUAGCCGGUCUGAGAGGAUGAACGGCCACAUUGGAACUGA